AUAAUACAUUACGCUGAGCAGGGAUGGGCACAUUUUAAAUAAAAUGCACUUACCUUUGUGAAAUGAAGGAGACGUCAAAUGGCACCGUUCAAAAAGUGGCGCUCAAGCAGGCAGAUGUCACGGUGAAGCUGGGUUGUUCCAGAGCACUUUUGGGAGUGAGGUGAAUACAGGACCCAUCACUCACUUCUUCCCUAGCAAUCCACUGCUCCACCUGUAAAAAAUUUGGCACUUUGCUGGUGUAGCAGGAUCAUCGUGGCCACGCAGUAGUGACGGAGGGAUGUUUUCCUGCUUGAUGACACCACUUUGUCUUUGCGGAGUCUGCUGACUAUGUCUGCCAUCUCUUCCCUCACAAGGGUGGGUUGCUGUAACCUAAUAUGAUAUUGUGGUAAAAAAAUGCAAGUCAGUGCACAAAUAGUGAUAAAAACACACAUCUUCAAUAUUAUGAUAACUGAAGGAUAUUGCCCUAAAUAACAAUGUUUAUGAGCAGUGCUGAAAUAAAUCAGCAAGAAAUCAUAUGUGACCCUGGACCACAAAACCAGUCAUAAGGGUACAUUUUUCGAAAUUGAGAUCUUCAAUCAUCAUCUGAAAGCUGAAUAAACAAGCUUUACAUUGAUGUGUGGAUUGUUA